rnacentral:rRNA from 1 species
CUAAGGCCGAUGGCGACCGGCGCACGGGUGAGUAACGCGUAUGCAACUUACCUAUCAGAGGGGGAUAACAGUUAGAAAUGACUGCUAAUACCGCAUGACGCAUAGAGGUCACAUGAUCUUUAUGCCAAAGAUUUAUCGCUUCAAGAUGGCCUCGCGUCUGAUUAGCUGGUUGGCGGGGUAACGGCCCACCAAGGCGACGAUCAGUAGCCGGACUGAGAGGUUGAACGGCCACAUUGGGACUGAGAUACGGCCCAGACUCC